ACUUCCGGUGGUGUCUCAGCCCAGCUCCCUUGAGGCGCAGGUUCUGGCUCUCGGUGCGGUAGCGCCAUCUGGCGCCGAGUGUUCCCCGGACUGCGGAGGGGCGCGCUUCCUCCCUUCAGAACAUUCCAGAGACACCGCGGCGGCCGGGGCUCUGUCUCCCUUUCUCUGCAUUCUGCUUGUGGAUCAGAUGUGAGCUCUCAUCUACUGCUCUGGUGUCACACCUGCCUGCCUGCCUGCCACCAUGCUGCCUGCCAUGAUGAUCAUGGACUCACCCUCUGAAACUGAAUCCACUGCUGGAAAGCUUCACCCCCUAAAGGACAGUUUCUUGAAUAGCCUGAACAACUUGCACUGUGUCGAUGACUUCUGCCUGACUUCACAGUCAUCCCAACGCGGUCAUCAAGGGACUGGUGCUAUUUCUAACCCAAUGGGCAUUAACAUCUUUUGUGACAACUAGGUCUCCAGCUUUCCCGGAGACUUGAAGUUUGUCUCACCUAUUCACAACAUGCCAGUGCUGCUUCUACCUCAGCCUCCCUAAAAUAAUGGUACCACGAGAAAAGAACGUGGCUUGAUGGUAGCAGAUGUUUCCUGGGACAGAGACUGGGACCCAAUUCUAAAUCCAGUCUGCCUUCAAACAUCUAAAGAAAGAUCACACAGCUUUGCUCUUAGACCCUCCCUCAAAUGAAUGCUCUGAGCCCCAUGUGAAUGCCUUCACCUUUCUCCUUUAUUCUCUCCCUAUACUUUCUUUUUGUAAUAAAUUUCUGCAUGCGCAUCCAUCA
rnacentral:lncRNA from 1 species